UGAGGAAUAUUGGUCAAUGGGGGCAACCCUGAACCAGCCAAGUCGCGUGAAGGAUGAAGGUCUUAUGGAUUGUAAACUUCUUUUAUACAGGAAUAAAUUGGGGGACGUGUCCCCUUUUGCAUGUACUGUAUGAAUAAGGAUCGGCUAACUCCGUGCCAGCAGCCGCGGUAAUACGGAGGAUCCGAGCGUUCUCCGGAUCUAUUGGGUUUAAAGGGUGCGCAGGCGGGAUGUUAAGUCGGCGGUGAAAUUUUGCAGCUCAACUGUAAAAGUGCCUUCGAGACGGGCCUCCUUGAGUGUGGAUGAAGUAGGCGGAAUUUGUGGUGUAGCGGUGAAAUGCUUAGAUAUCACGAGGAAC
rnacentral:rRNA from 1 species